AGCAGCACGGUACCCGCCGAUUGGCCCUCGGGUGGCGUGACGCGCGCCGACGCUCCCCACCGAUAGGCCGGGCCGCGGUGCGUGUAGGGAGUAAACAAAACCCGCCCCCAGGCUCGCCACCGGGACAAGAGGCGGAGGUGGGCGGCGGGCUUGCGGGAGCUUGCUCUGGCCCUUUGACCUCCAAAACGGCUCUUGGCUAGGAGCCGCCCUGAGACUCUGCCUACAGCUCGUCCCCUUCUACCUAGAGGACGGCCAGGCAGCCUGCCUUUCCCUCCACCAGUUCAGCUCCUCACCUCACCUCCGCCCAACACCUCACUUCGAAGCUCUGGAGUGUGGUUCUCUGUGGCAUCCCAUCUCUCUUAGGAAGACGGGAACUAGGGUCCUUACGUCUCGGCCAUGGACAUUUAAUGGGUCACUACUCCAGAAUAUCCGGAAGGCAGAUGGAUAACAGUGACCCUGAGGCUGGCCACUCGUGGACCAAUGAGGAGUGGAGAAAAAAUAUGAAGCACUUCAACCCAACAUGUACGGCCACAAGAGAAGCAGGCACAUUGAAUGUUUGGGCUAAUGUGGAGAAAAGAGUGCCCAGAAUCUCAUUACCUGUCAAGUGAACACUACAUGUCCAUGCUGGGACGAGAGGGAAUGCAAAAGAGAUCAAAGGACAACUUGCAGGAACUGGUUCUUGUCUUCUGCCACGUGGGUCUUGGGACUAGCAUAGUGUUUUCAGGUUUGGCAAUAAAUGGCUUUACCCUCUGAUCCAUCUUGCCAUAUUCCCUUAAACUCUUUGUAAAGCGAAAACUUGAAGACAAAAAUUAAUUUGAACCAGUCACAGUGGUACAUACCGUUAGUCCCAGCACUUGGGAGGCAGAGACAUGGAGGUCUCUGUGAGGUUCAGGCAAGCCUGGUUUACACAUUGAAUAUGCAUAAGGAAUCACGUCUCGAGAAGCAAAACAACAACAAGAACAAACCCUAAGGUGAACAAUAUGAAGUUACUAUAUGGUUUGGUGUGCACUUGGAAGAGUUAGCAUGAGACAUGCAGUGCACACAGUUAAUGUUCAAUAAGUAAGACAGUUGUCACUCUUUAGCGUUGCCUUUGGAAGAGAGCACUUGAAAGUCCACAGUCUCUUCCAAGGCCCCACAGUAGAAGGCUUCAAAUUUUCCAUACCCUAGUUUGAUCUAGCUGUGAAUUUCCAUGACCUAAUGAGGGUAUGCUGUAGAAGACAAGUAAAAACUGGUUUCACAGCAGGCCAAAAAUUCAGAACAAGGAAGAACAGCUUGGGUUUGAAGCCAGAGACUGAAAGUUCUCUGGUACAGAAUAAAUUGAGUUGCUCCGGGGAUGAAAAUUCAUGUAAAUCAAUUUUUCAUUCCCACUCAUAGUUUCAAUUUAGCAAUGCGCACAAAGAGCUUUCUGUCUCACUUCUCAUCUCCCCCAUUAAGGGAUCCUGUUUCCUUUGAAAAAAGAAAUUAAGUCUUUUCCAUCUCCAAUGCCAGAGAAUAGAUGUCUCAACUUCGGUGGUAUAUUUACUGACUCAGCACUUAUUAGGCGCUUAGUGUGUGCCAACCACUGUGCACGGCUCCGAAGCACCAGCAUAAAUGUCUCAAAAGCUGAUAAAUACUAUCUCACGAGCUUACAACAAUCCCUCAGCUCACCCAGUUAAUUGUAUAUCCUAUCCGAUAAACUUAACUUACUCCAAAAAGGAAAUUCUUGACUGACUACCACCAGCUCUCUCCCCACAAGAUUUUGUCUGCCUUGCUAACAUUUAUUAAAGCUGCAGUAAUUCACUUGGACCUGUAGCCUGUUGGGCUCUAAGUGCCUUCAGAGUCAGAGCGAUUCAUUUUCAGUGCCAUUAUUGCUAAUAUACAGCCACUAGUAGAAUAUACAAUACAGUAAGUAUAUUCAGAAAGAGAAGCAAAGUAUAAUGAACCAACCUGGUAAAGCUGUGAGUUCAAAGCUAACCCGAGGUACAGAGUGAAUUUAAAAACAACCCUAGAGGUUUAGAAACUCUGUUUUAGGGGCUGGGGAUUUAGCUCAGUGGUAGAGCGCUUACCUAGGAAGCGCAAGGCCCUGGGUUCGGUCCCCAGCUCUGAAAAAAAGAACAAAAAAAAAAAAAAAAAAAGAAAUUCUGUUUUAAACUGAUAUUAAAAAAAAAAAAAAGGCUGUUUAUGUACCUCACUGUGGCAUACAAGACCCUGGGUUUAUAUACAGACAUAUAAAGGACAUAUACAGGUAAAGCCACCCUUGGUCAGGCCUGGUGGUUCCUGCCUGUCCUGGUGAAGCAGAGGCGGGAAAAUCAGGAAUUCAAAGCCAGGCUCUAUUACACAGUCAGUUCAAGGCCAGCUCGAAGGAAGGAAACAUGACUCAAAAAUAAACACAGGGGCUGGAGAGAUGGCUCAGUGGUUAAGAGCAGUGACUGCUUCUCCAGAGGUCCUGAGUUCAAUUCCCAGAAACCACAUGGUGGCUCAGAACCAUCUGUAAUGAGAUCUGAUACCCUCUUCUGGUGUGUCUGAAGACAGCGACAGUGUACUCAUAUAUAAUAAAGAAAUCUUUAAAAUAAACAAACAAACAAACACAAGAGCCAGUGAGAUGCCACAUGAUGUCUUAGGGUUUCUACUGCUGUGAUAAAACACCAGGACCAAAGAGCAACUUGGGUAGGAAGAGUUUAUUUGGCUUACACCUCCACAUUGUAGUCUAUCACUGAAGGAAGUCAGGACAGGAACUCACAGGGCAGGAAGCUGGAGGCAGGAGCUGAUGCAGAGACCAUGGAGGAGUGCUGCUUACUGACUUUCUCCUCAUAGCUUGCUCAGCCUGCUUUCUUACAGAACCCAGGGCCACCAUCCCACAGAUGGCCCCACCCACAAUCCCACAGAUGGCCCCACCCACAAUCCCACAGAUGGCCCCACCCACAAUCCCACAGAUGGCCCCACCCACAAUCCCACAGAUGGCCCCACCCACAAUCCCACAGAUGGCCCCACCCACAAUGAGCUAGACCCUCCCCCAUCAAUCACUAAUUAAGAAAAUAUCCUACAGCUGGAUCUUAUGGAGGUAUUUCCUCAAUUGAGGUUUCUUCCUUUCAGAUGACUCUAGCUGUGUCCGGUUGACAUAAAACUAGCCAGGACAAUGGGUAAGGCUCUUGCCACACACACCAGAUGGCCUGAUGAAGGGUUAAAUCCCCAGAACUCACAGUGGAAGGAAACAAGAACUCCUGUCUUCUGACCUCCACAUGCACAUCAUAACACACACACACACACACACACACACACACACACACACACACACACACACACACACAGAGAGAGAGAGAGAGAGAGAGAGAGAGAGAGAGAGAGAGAGAGAGAAUAAAUAAGUAAACUU